UUUUCGGCUUUAUUCAGCCCUGUCUUUUCCUGUCUAUUUCCUGGGGGAUGUGUGUUCGAGUUCAUUUUAAAGUGGUCUGAGUAUUUGAGUGUACAAUUGUAGGGGGCUCUGUGUUUUACACUGUCCUGUAUGUUUUUGACUUAAUUUACAGGGUAGAUCUGUGCUUUAUGGCUUAUUUACCGGGGGCUCUGUGUUGCAGUGCUUCGACACUGGCGGGGUGGGGGGGGUCUCUGUUUUAGAGUUUAUUCACAUUGAGGCCUGUGUUUUCGGGUUAUUUACAAAGAGCUCUGUGAUUUAAGGUUUACAUAGAAAGGCUGUAUUCUAAGGUUUAUUUACAGAAGGCUCUCUGCUUUAGGGUUUAUUUACAGUGAGCAGUGUAGUUUAGGAUUUAUUUCCAGUGAGCUCUGGGCUUUAGCAUUUAUUUACAGGAGGAUCUUCAUUUCAUGGUUUUGUUUCAGUUGGAUCUUUGUUUCAGGGUUUUUUUUAAACAAUGGGCUCUGUGUCUUAUUUAUAGUGCCAUCUGCGUUUUUGAGUUUAUUUGCAGAGCAUUCUGUGUUUUUGAGUUUAUUUCCAGGAGGCUCUCUGUUUUAGCGUUUGUUUGCAGGAUCCUCUGUGUUUUAAGAUUUAAUUUACUGUUUAUUGGCAUGGGUACUCUUUGUUUGAGGCACUGACUGAGUACUGGCCUUCUGACAAUGUGGUACUCAUUCAGAUCUGACCCUCCAGCAAUGAGGUACUGUGUCAGAACUGAUCCACUGACAGUAAAGCACUGUCUCCUCAGUUCUGACCCUCUGACAGAGCUGCAAUCGUUCAGGACUGAACUUCUGAUCAUGUUGUACUCCAUCAACUCUGAACCCAAUGCAUUGAGGGAAAAAAGCCUUGAAAGUGCCGUUUUUUUUUUGCAUGGCAAGCUGCUGAAUACGAACCAGUCUCACACCAUUGCCAUCACCUUGCCCUUGUGAAGGCAGAUAUGGAUAAAGUUUUCAAAGCUGAUAGAAAAUUGAAAGCACUCGCAUCCUGUGACCAUGAUUCUGAUGUCGGUAACUGGAAAACCUCCAUGGUUGGAGGACGAGAAGCCGUAUCCAAUUGAAGCAGCAGAGGCUUUUGCGAUGACUGUGG